rnacentral:rRNA from 1 species
GACGAACGCUGGCGGCGUGCUUAACACAUGCAAGUCGAACGGAAAGGCCCUGCUUUUGUGGGGUGCUCGAGUGGCGAACGGGUGAGUAACACGUGAGCAACCUGCCCUUGACUUUGGGAUAACUUCAGGAAACUGGGGCUAAUACCGGAUAGGAGCUCCUGCUGCAUGGUGGGGGUUGGAAAGUUUCGGCGGUUGGGGAUGGACUCGCGGCUUAUCAGCUUGUUGGUGGGGUAGUGGCUUACCAAGGCUUUGACGGGUAGCCGGCCUGAGAGGGUGACCGGCCAGAUUGGGACUGAGAUACGGCCCAGACUCCUACGGGAGGCAGCAGUGGGGAAUAUUGCACAAUGGGCGGAAGCCUGAUGCAGCAACGCCGCGUGCGGGAUGACGGCCUUCGGGUUGUAAACCGCUUUCGCCUGUGACGAAGCGUGAGUGACGGUAAUGGGUAAAGAAGCACCGGCUAACUACGUGCCAGCCGCCGCAGUAACAC